CAGUCGAAGAUACCAGCUGGCUGCAACUGUUUAUUAAAAACACAGCACUGUGCAAACACGAAAGUGGACGUAUACGGUGUGACGCCUGCCCGGUGCUGGAAGGUUAAUUGAUGGGGUUAGCGUAAGCGAAGCUCCUGAUCGAAGCCCCAGUAAACGGCGGCCGUAACUAUAACGGUCCUAAGGUAGCGAAAUUCCUUGUCGGGUAAGUUCCGACCUGCACGAAUGGCGUAAUGAUGGCCAGGCUGUCUCCACCCGAGACUCAGUGAAAUUGAACUCGCUGUGAAGAUGCAGUGUACCCGCGGCAAGACGGAAAGACCCCGUGAACCUUUACUAUAGCUUGACACUGAACAUUGAGCCUUGAUGUGUAGGAUAGGUGGGAGGCUUUGAAGUGUGGACGCCAGUCUGCAUGGAGCCAACCUUGAAAUACCACCCUUUAACGUUUGAUGUUCUAACCUAGGCCCAUAAACUGGGUCGGGGACCGUGUCUGGUGGGUAGUUUGACUGGGGCGGUCUCCUCCUAAAGAGUAACGGAGGAGCACGAAGGUUGGCUAAGCAUGGUCGGACAUCAUGCGGUUAGUGCAAAGGCAUAAGCCAGCUUGACUGCGAGAGUGACGGCUCGAGCAGGUACGAAAGUAGGUCUUAGUGAUCCGGUGGUUCUGAAUGGAAGGGCCAUCGCUCAACGGAUAAAAGGUACUCCGGGGAUAACAGGCUGAUACCGCCCAAGAGUUCAUAUCGACGGCGGUGUUUGGCACCUCGAUGUCGGCUCAUCACAUCCUGGGGCUGAAGUAGGUCCCAAGGGUAUGGCUGUUCGCCAUUUAAAGUGGUACGCGAGCUGGGUUUAGAACGUCGUGAGACAGUUCGGUCCCUAUCUGCCGUGGGCG
rnacentral:rRNA from 1 species